rnacentral:rRNA from 1 species
UCUCAGUUCGGAUUGUAGGCUGAAACUCGCCUACAUGAAGCUGGAGUUACUAGUAAUCGCAGAUCAGAAUGCUGCGGUGAAUGCGUUCCCGGGUCUUGUACACACCGCCCGUCACACCACGGAAGUUGGGGGCGCCCGAAGCCACUUAGCUAACCCAUUUGGGAAGCGAGUGUCGAAGGUGAAAUCAAUAACUGGGGUGAAGUCGUAACAAGGUAAC